UGUAGCUCAGCUGUAGCUCAGCUGUAGCUCAGCUGUAGCUCACCUGUAGCUCAGCUGUAGCUCACCUGUUGCUCCUCCUCCUCAGUCCUCUCUGAACUGUCUUCAGCUCAGCAGACAUACUGGUCAGAUGUCAAUUAAAACCAGAACUGCAGCGGUUCAUCAGUCAGUCAGAGGUGUGUGUGUGAGCUCCAGCCUGCAGGUGAGUCAUGAGUCAGAUUAUCUCAGUCUGACGUGACUCACAGCUUCACUCUCUCCUCUGAUUCAGCUCCACGGCGUCCUGAGAGUCCCCUCGGUGGGACUUUACUCACUUCUGUGGUAAGAAAUGCUGCUUCAUGUCAGUACAGUCAGCACCAGGAGGAUUCUGGGAAACGAACCGAGGGGUUUAAUGGCAGCCAGGACUCAUUUCACCAAACAUGAAAACACUCGACACAUCUGCUGCUGCUUUGCGUUCUGUGCAUCUAAACUGACUGUUGUGGAUUAAUAUGCCUAAAGAGUCCGGACCGAGUCUGUUCCGGUCUGAGGAGAUUCGGAGACGCGAGGACAACAAAGUGGAAUUGGAAUCUGUGGAUGUUCGUGUGUAGCUAGCUGCUAGCUGCUAGCCGCUACCCACACGGCCCACCUCCUGAGUCGACAGACACACCGGCAGGUCCAGAACCAGACUUAGGUCACAGGAUCUGUCAGCAGGACGGGUGGAGGUGAUGGAGGUUCAUCUGAAGGAUUCUGAUCGGGUUCUGACAGGAAGCGCUCAGCUUGUCCCCGAGCUGCGUCCUGGUGUCUCUGCAGGGUCCAGGUGUCUCUUCCUGUGGGCGCUGGUUGAUGAGGACAAGGCUGCUGGGACUCUUUCAUCCGGCUGCCAGUUAAUGGAGGUGCAGCUCAGGUGUGUCAUUGUGUGCAGGCUGAAUGGAGGCGUGACACCGACUGAAACUGAUGCUCGCCUCGUUACACACCACAGAAGAAGAAGCAGGUGUCCAAACAGCUGGAGAGGACGGACGGACAGAUGGACUCGAACUGUCUCCGUCCCAUUUGUUUCUCUUCCUCUGGUCGGCUGCUCUUUCUGUGGGCGGGGCCAGGAGUGUCAGAGGACACGACGUGUAAAGAAACAAACACACGUUACUGAACAACUCUUUAAACACAAACACGAAGAUUGUUUUAUGAUUCUUAACUUUUUAAUCUCAGUCGUCAGAACUGCUGAACUGAAGUUGUAACUGAAUAUUUUGUGAGUGAAGAUCAAACUGAA